AUUGAACGCUGGCGGCAUGCUUUACACAUGCAAGUCGAACGGUAACAGGCCGCAAGGUGCUGACGAGUGGCGAACGGGUGAGUAAUGCAUCGGAACGUGCCCAGUCGUGGGGGAUAACGCAGCGAAAGCUGUGCUAAUACCGCAUACGACCUAUGGAUGAAAGCGGGGGAGCGUAAGGCCUCGGGAGAUGGGAGCGGCCGAUGUCGGAUUAGGUAGUUGGUGGGGUAAAGGCCCACCAAGCCAACGAACUGUAGCUGGUCUGAAGGGACGACCAGCCAACCUGGGACUGAGACACGGCCCAGACGCCUACGGGAGGCAGCAGUGGGGAAUUUUGGACAAUGGGCGCAAGCCUGAUCCAGCAAUGCCGCGUACAGGAAGAAGGCCUUCGGGUUGUAAACUGCUUUUGUACGGAACGAAAAGGUCUGGGUUAAUACCCUGGGCCGAUGACGGUACCGUAAGAAUAAGCACCGGCUAACUACGUGCCAGCCGCCGCCGUAACAC
rnacentral:rRNA from 1 species